UACGUAGGGGGCAAGCGUUGUCCGGAGUUACUGGGCGUAAAGCGCACGCAGGCGGUCUGCUAAGUUUGGAGUGACAGUUGGUGGCUCAACUACCAAAGUGCUUUGAAAACUGACAGACUUGAGGGCUUCAGAGGGACACGGAAUUCCGGGUGGAGUGGUGAAAUGCGUAGAGAUCCGGAGGAACACCAAAGGCGAAGGCAGUGUCCUGGGGAGUACCUGACGCUCAGGUGCGAAAGCCAGGGGAGCGAAC
rnacentral:rRNA from 1 species